UACGUAGGGGGCUAGCGUUGUCCGGAUUAUUGGGCGUAAAGAGCGUGUGAGGCGGCCAUGUAGGUCCGGUGUGAAAACUCGAGGCUCAACCUCGAGAUGUCGGCGGAAACCACUUGGCUAGAGUCCGGAAGAGGAGAGUGGAAUUCCUGGUGUAGCGGUGAAAUGCGCAGAUAUCAGGAAGAACACCUAUGGCGAAGGCAGCUCUCUGGGACGGUACUGACGCUGAGACGCGAAAGCGUGGGGAGCGAACAGG
rnacentral:rRNA from 1 species